ACGAGCUGAGGGGCUCUGGGUCACCUCCCACCCGUGUUUAUUUACCUUAUUGCUUCGGCGGGCCCGCCUUCACUGGCCGCCGGGGGGCUCACGCCCCCGGGCCCGCGCCCGCCGAAGACACCCCGAACUCUGUCUGAAGAAUGAAGUCUGAGUGAAAAUAUAAAUUAUUUAAAACUUUCAACAACGGAUCUCUUGGUUCCGGCAUCGAUGAAGAACGCAGCGAAAUGCGAUACGUAAUGUGAAUUGCAAAUUCAGUGAAUCAUCGAGUCUUUGAACGCACAUUGCGCCCCCUGGUAUUCCGGGGGGCAUGCCUGUCCGAGCGUCAUUGCUGCCCUCAAGCCCGGCUUGUGUGUUGGGCCUCGUCCUCCGAUUCCGGGGGACGGGCCCGAAAGGCAGCGGCGGCACCGCGUCCGGUCCUCGAGCGUAUGGGGCUCUGUCACCCGCUCUGUAGGCCCGGCCGGCGCUUGCCGAUCAACCCAAAUUUUUAUCCAGGUUGACCUCGGAUCAGGUAGGGAUACCCGCUGAACUUAAGCAUAU
rnacentral:rRNA from 1 species